GGGGCGGGGGGCGCUCGGCGGGCAUGGCGGGGCUGCCCGUCCCGUCCCGUCCCCUCCCGUCCGUCCCAUCCCGCGGGUGCUCCCCCGGCUUUCCCCCCUCGCCGUUCCAGGCUCGCCGGGAUUUGUGUUCGAAGCGCUCUGGGGAAGAUGGAGAUGAGACUUGUAAGGCAGCGUUUUCAUGGCUGGAUCCAGCCGAGUGCUUUGUGUUUCUCUCUUAAAAACAGCCUCUGGAACAUCUCAGCACCUUCUCUUUGCCAGCAGCCACGUGGUCCUGCUGACUCCAUUCAACCAGCACAGCUGAACUGGGGCACUCAGCUCAUCCUUAAUGGGAAAAUAUUCCACUUUCCUCCAGAUUUGGAGCUUCUUUGCCAUCCUGCCUGGAUUUCUGAACCCUCUGUGCCAUUAUGAACAACACCCUUCCUGGAAACACAACCUUAAUUGCCAAUGUCCUUAUGGCAGAGGGAGGGGGAAUAUGGUAAAUCCCACCUCAAACUGCUGCUUUAUAACCCAGAGUAAGGAAUUGUAAUUUCCAAAAGUGCACAUGAGGAAAACAGCAGCAGCAGAGUGAGCCUUGGAAUUUGUCCAGGCAUUAAAGAUUUUAGAAAUGCUA